rnacentral:rRNA from 1 species
GACGAACGCUGGCGGCGUGCUUAACACAUGCAAGUCGAACGGAAAGGCCCUGCUUUUGUGGGGUGCUCGAGUGGCGAACGGGUGAGUAACACGUGAGUAACCUGCCCUUGACUUUGGGAUAACUUCAGGAAACUUGGGCUAAUACCGGAUAGGAGCUCCUGCUGCAUGGUGGGGGUUGGAAAGUUUCGGCGCUUGGGGAUGGACUCGCGGCUUAUCAGCUUGUUGGUGGGGUAGUGGCUUACCAAGGCUUUGACGGGUAGCCGGCCUGAGAGGGUGACCGGCGACAUUGGGACUGAGAUACGGCCCAGAGUCCUACGGGAGGCAGCAGGGGGGAAUAUUGCACAAUGGGCGGAAGCCUGAUGCAGCAACGCCGCGUGCGGGAUGACGGCCUUCGGGUUGUAAACCGCUUUCGCCUGUGACGAAGCGUGAGUGACGGUAAUGGGUAAAGAAGCACCGGCUAACUACGUG